AUUGAACGCUGGCGGCAUGCCUUACACAUGCAAGUCGAACGGCAGCAUGGAAGAGCUUGCUCUUCUGAUGGCGAGUGGCGAACGGGUGAGUAAAGCAUCGGAACGUACCGUGUAGUGGGGGAUAACGUAGCGAAAGUUACGCUAAUACCGCAUACGCACUGAGGUGGAAAGCAGGGGAUCGCAAGACCUUGCGCUAUACGAGCGGCCGAUGUCAGAUUAGCUAGUUGGUAGGGUAAAGGCCUACCAAGGCGACGAUCUGUAGCGGGUCUGAGAGGAUGAUCCGCCACACUGGGACUGAGACACGGCCCAGACUCCUACGGGAGGCAGCAGUGGGGGAAUUUUGGGACAAUGGGCGAAAGCCUGAUCCAGCCAUGCCGCGUGAGUGAAGAAGGCC
rnacentral:rRNA from 1 species